rnacentral:lncRNA from 1 species
UCUCUCUACUGCUAGCUUGAACCUUUGCCAACACAUGGGAUAAGGAAACUGAGUCCCAGAAGAACAUUAAAGGAAGAGGAAAAUUAAAUCAUUUUACAAAUGAAGAAGCUAUACUCUGAAUGUCCUCAAAUGCCCCAGAUCUUCAUCCUGAAGCAUCUUUCAAGGUAUGGAAUUUGUUUCCUGGAAGAAUUCUCUGCCAUUGUGGUCUCUGUCUGACUGGUGGCUUCUCAC